GUCCCACAAUAGAGUGCACAAGUAUAUAAAACAAAAAUUUGAUAAAAAUGUAUCGUGUUUUCAUAAUCGCUGUAUCAAAGCAAGUGAAUUAAUCUAAAUGUCCGUACAAUGUACAGUAAUAUUUCUUUUCAUGACUUGUUUAUUCUUAAAUAUAAGCGUUUUCUAUUUUUAUCUGACAAGUCCACACAUGGACUUUUCAUUAGUCUAGAAAUUUCGCUAUAGUGUUCCAUCAAUGUCUUAGUGCAGGUUCGAGAACUUAGUGUACCAAAGCGGCCUAGUGGUUUUUAGACGUACCGGCAAGUUCCUGGCUCACAAUAGCACAACCGUCCUUUUGAUGAUCAAUUUGUUAACUUGCUGGGACUAUCAUUCUAAUAGCAUAAUAGUCCUCGUUAAAUCAUAGCUCUACCGUUAAAUAGUACUGUAAUUGUUAUUAAUGUUAUUAUUUUAUUUUUACG
rnacentral:lncRNA from 1 species